AUGGCGACCGGCGCACGGGUGAGUAACACGUAUCCAACCUGCCGAUAACUCGGGGAUAGCCUUUCGAAAGAAAGAUUAAUACCCGAUGGUAUAAUUAGACCGCAUGGUCUUGUUAUUAAAGAAUUUCGGUUAUCGAUGGGGAUGCGUUCCAUUAGGCAGUUGGUGAGGUAACGGCUCACCAAACCUUCGAUGGAUAGGGGUUCUGAGAGGAAGGUCCCCCACAUUGGAACUGAGACACGGUCCAA
rnacentral:rRNA from 1 species